rnacentral:rRNA from 1 species
AUUGAACGCUGGCGGCAGGCCUAACACAUGCAAGUCGAGCGAGCGGCGGACGGGUGAGUAAUGUCUGUGAAACUGCCUGAUGGAGGGGGAUAACUACUGGAAACGGUAGCUAAUACCGCAUACCAUCAGAUGUGCCCAUAUGGGAUUAGCUAGUGGGUGGGGUAACGGCUCACAUAGGCGACGAUCCGUAGCUGGUCUGAGAGGAUGACCAGCCACACUGGAACUAGGACACGGUCCAGACUCCUACGGGAGGCAGACGUGGGGAAUAUUGAACAAUGGGCGAAAUCCUGAGGCAGCCAUGCCGCGUGUGUGAAGAAGGCCUUCGGGUUGUAAAGCACUUUCAGCGGGGAGGCGUUACCCGCAGAAGAAGCACCGGCUAACUCCGUGCCAGCAGCCGCGAUAAUAC